GAUGAACGCUGGCGGCGUGCCUAAUACGUGCAAGUCGAGCGAAUGGAUUAAGAGCUUGCUCUUAUGAAGUUAGCGGCGGACGGGUGAGUAACACGUGGGUAACCUGCCCAUAAGACUGGGAUAACUCCGGGAAACCGGGGCUAAUACCGGAUAAUAUUUUGAACUGCAUGGUUCAAAAUUGAAAGGCGGCUUCGGCUGUCACUUAUGGAUGGACCCGCGUCGCAUUAGCUAGUUGGUGAGGUAACGGCUCACCAAGGCAACGAUGCGUAGCCGGCCUGGGAGGGGGAUCGGCCACACCGGGACUGGGACACGGCCCAGACUCCUACGGGAGGCAGCAGUAGGGAAUCUUCCGCAAUGGACGAAAGUCUGACGGAGCAACGCCGCGUGAGUGAUGAAGGCUUUCGGGUCGUAAAACUCUGUUGUUAGGGAAGAACAAGUGCUAGUUGAAUAAGCUGGCACCUUGAUGGUACCUAACCAGAAAGCCACGGCUAACUACGUGCCAGCCGCCGCGGUAA
rnacentral:rRNA from 1 species